AUAUUAUUUAUCUCAUUAAAUAUUUAAUCCAAUUACACUGUAUUAUUUAUAUUUCAUUAGUACAUUACAAUUAUCUUUAUUAUUAUAAUAAUAAUACUCAUGAAUAUAUUAUUCAUCCUCACUCCCUUCAACGAUAAAAGGACGCGCUUUAAGGCCAAGGAAAGGGAAAGAAAAAAAAAAUAACAACAACAAACAACCACUACACUCUUAAGUCCUCUCUCACCCCUUCCCCUGAGUCAACGGUGUAAGCCCUCUCUCACCUCUUCCCCUGAAUCAACGAUUCACACCCCUUCCCUUGUUGAGUCAACCACUGGAGAGGUAUUCUCAUGGCAGGGUAGACGAUCGAAAGGACUCUCGGUGUGGACUCAUUGCUUCAUGCUGGCUUUCCACAUUCAAAUAGCAUGAGCUUAAGUUUCAAAAAGUGGGAGAAAAAAAUUUGUUAGCGGGGCGGGCACGGGGGCACAGUAUUUCCCAACCGGGCGAGGCUAAACAGGAAAAUUCAACCCGUCGAGAGUCUCAGGACGGGCAUGGACUUGACAAAAAAUAAAAGGGGUGGGGCGGGAUUUAGGGAAACCCGCUCCAAACCCGCCCCGUUGCCAUCCCUAGUUUUGAUUUGUAACCCGAUAUAGUUCAUAAGGUUAUUUUUUAUUUUUUUAAUAGUUCAAGGGUUUUUUGCACUUUUGUCGGGUGUAAUAGUCAUUCAAAAUGGUAAUUCAGGCAUUACUUAAAAUGCACAGGCGCGUGAAUCGACAUACACCAAAAAAUGUGGUUCAAUGAUCAGAAAGUUCCAUUUUGCAAUGUUUUGUUGAGAUUGAAGUUGAUUUACAACUCGAGAUAGUACAUAUUAUUUUUCAACUUUUGCCCAGAAUUUAAAUACAUUAUCAAGUUUCCAGUCAA